rnacentral:rRNA from 1 species
GAGCGCAGAGACAGGUGGUGCAUGGCUGUCGUCAGCUCGUGUUGUGAAAUGUUGGGUUAAGUCCCGUAACGAGCGCAACCCUUGUCCUUAUUUGCCAGCGGGUAAUGCCGGGAACUCUAAGGAGACUGCCGGUGACAAACCGGAGGAAGGUGGGGACGACGUCAAGUCAUCAUGGCCCUUACGAGUAGGGCUACACACGUGCUACAAUGGCCGGUACAAAGGGUUGCGAGCUCGCGAGAGUCAGCUAAUCCCGAAAAGCCGGUCUCAGUCCGGAUCGGAGUCUGCAACUCGACUCCGUGAAGUCGGAAUCGCUAGUAAUCGUGAAUCAGAAUGUCACGGUGAAUACGUUCCCGGGCCUUGCACACACCGCCCGU